rnacentral:rRNA from 1 species
UACAGAGGGUGCAAGCGUUAAUCGGAAUUACUGGGCGUAAAGCGUGCGUAGACGGUUAUGUAAGUCAGGUGUGAAAGCCCGGGGCUCAACCUGGGAAUGGCAUUUGAGACUGCAUAGCUAGGGUGCGGAAGAGGGAAGCGGAAUUUCCGGUGUAGCGGUGAAAUGCGUAGAUAUCGGAAGGAACAUCAGUGGCGAAGGCGGCUUCCUGGACCGACACUGACGCUGAGGCGCGAAAGCUAGGGGAGCAAACGGG